rnacentral:rRNA from 2 species
GAUCUUCUCCUUCAUGGGAGAUGAUUGAAAGAUGGUUUCGGCUAUCACUUACAGAUGGGCCCGCGGUGCAUUAGCUAGUUGGUGAGGUAACGGCUCACCAAGGCAACGAUGCAUAGCCGACCUGAGAGGGUGAUCGGCCACACUGGGACUGAGACACGGCCCAGACUCCUACGGGAGGCAGCAGUAGGGAAUCUUCCGCAAUGGACGAAAGUCUGACGGAGCAACGCCGCGUGAGUGAUGAAGGCUUUCGGGUCGUAAAACUCUGUUGUUAGGGAAGAACAAGUACAAGAGUAACUGCUUGUACCUUGACGGUACCUAACCAGAAAGCCACGGCUAACUACGUGCCAGCAGCCGCGGUAAUACGUAGGUGGCAAGCGUUAUCCGGAAUUAUUGGGCGUAAAGCGCGCGCAGGCGGUUUCUUAAGUCUGAUGUGAAAGCCCACGGCUCAACCGUGGAGGGUCAUUGGAAACUGGGGAACUUGAGUGCAGAAGAGAAAAGCGGAAUUCCACGUGUAGCGGUGAAAUGCGUAGAGAUGUGAGACACAGUGCGAUGCGCUUUUUGGUCUGUACUGACGCU